GUAGGUGAACCUGCGGAAGGAUCAUUACCAAAUCCAAAAACUUUAUCAACACCUUAUGUGCACUGAGAAUGGUUCCGUUCCCUGCCAACCGCUUAUGGGCGCAGGGGGAGUGCGCAUGCCCUCUUUUGGAACAUGCGCAACCCCCUUGUUUAAGUGGGCAGGUGGGGAAUGUAUUUUUCAACACCUUUUCAACCAUUAAUCCAUUAAAACAUGCUGAAAGCAAACAAAAAACGAAACAUGAGACAACUUU
rnacentral:misc_RNA from 1 species